rnacentral:lncRNA from 10 species
GGUGUAACAUACCUAAUUCUUUUGCCCCUGUCUCCUUGGAUGUCAGGCUCCUCCUCAGGAUGAUUAUCAAGAUGCCACUUUCUUUGCCAUCCUUGUAUCCUUCCUCCAGAUAUACAACUUCAUUACCCUUGCACGACACCACGGUACCUUGAGCAGACCAAGGGCUGGCCUAUGUAACCAGUAGAAAACUGUGGAAGUGAUGGGGCAGGACCAGUAGAAUACUAGAGAAGUGAUGGCGUGGGACAACUUCCAAGGCCGCAUCACAGAAGGCAUUGCAGCUUCUGCCG